UUAACUCAAAAUUGUACGGAGUAGGAAUGUUUACUUAAGUUUGCCGCUAGAGGCGCUGUUCCAACUGCAUACAACUUUGACUUA
rfam:Bombyx mori DNA, contig: Bm_scaf55_contig27665, strain: p50T/Dazao, build 2, whole genome shotgun sequence.